rnacentral:tRNA from 1 species
GGGGAUUUACCUCAGUUGGUAGAGCGCUCGCUUUGCAUGCGAGAGGUACCGGGAUCGAUACCCGGAUUCUCCA